rnacentral:rRNA from 1 species
CCCUACGGGUGGCUGCAGUGGGGAAUAUUGGACAAUGGGCGCAAGCCUGAUCCAGCCAUGCCGCGUGAGUGAUGAAGGCCUUAGGGUUGUAAAGCUCUUUCGGCGGGGAAGAUAAUGACGGUACCCGCAGAAGAAGCCCCGGCUAACUUCGUGCCAGCAGCCGCGGUAAUACGAAGGGGGUUAGCGUUGCUCGGAAUCACUGGGCGUAAAGCGCACGUAGGCGGGUUGCUAAGUCAGGGGUGAAAUCCUGGAGCUCAACGCCAGAACUGCCUUUGAUACUGGCGACCUUGAGUCCGGGAGAGGUGAGUGGAACUGCGAGUGUAGAGGUGAAAUUCGUAGAUAUUUGCAAGAACACCAGUGGCGAAGGCGGCUCACUGGCCCGGUACUGACGCUGAGGUGCGAAAGCGUGGGGAGCAAACAGGAUUAGAUACCCGAGUAGUC